CCGGAGUUUGCCAUGGUUGUAGGGGUGUUGGGCACUUCUUUGGCGAUUGUCCGAUAAAACGCCAAUGCCUAGAUUGUGCGAGAGGAUUUCAAAUAAUUUUUGUGGUGGAAAAGGAAACCCGUAACAAAGGCAAAUUCUUCAAUUGUUGCAUUUCGAAGUGCGGUUUUUGGGAUUAGAGCGAAUCAGGAGAAGCAACCGGCGAAUCCAGUAACGCUAGCGUUAUGUUGGCUAAACCAGUGGCACAGAAAGAAGUUGAUGAUUUGUCUCGAACAUUCAAAUCUCAAGUGCAGCUUAAUGACUGUGCGGAACUUUUGAUUUCUGUGAACGUGAACUUCACCGUCCGUCGUGGAAAAUCACCUGCUGAACAAGACAAUAAGAGGAAAGACAAGGCAUAGUGUAGUUGGUUAAGUCAUGUAAUACGUAUUUUUUUAAUUAUUUUUUUUGGCGAUGUAGUCUUUUCUGUAAUAUGUAUUUUUUUUUUUUGGUGAUGUAGUCUUCGAAAGCAUUAUUCUGAUAGAAAUCUGUCUGUAGUGUAAUGGAACAUUCUAGAUUUCUGUUGUUAUUCCAG
rnacentral:lncRNA from 1 species